rnacentral:tRNA from 1 species
GCCUGGGUGGCUCAGUCGGUUGGGCGUCUGACUUCAGCUCAGGUCAUGAUCUCACAGUUGGUGGGUUUGAGCCCCAUGCCGGGCU